rnacentral:tRNA from 1 species
GGCCUUAUAGUUGAUAAACAACAUCAAACUGCAAAUUUGAAGGUGUAAUUUUACUAGGGCCU